rnacentral:rRNA from 1 species
AUUGAACGCUAGCGGGAGGCCUUACACAUGCAAGUCGAACGAGUGGCGGACGGGUGAGGAAUACAUCGGAAUGUGCUCUGUCGUGGGGGAUAACGACUGGAAACUUAGGCUAAUACCGCAUACGAUUGAAUGAGCCGAUGUCGGAUUAGCUAGUUGGCGGGGUAAAGGCCCACCAAGGCGACGAUCCGUAGCUGGUCUGAGAGGAUGACCAGCCACACUGGAACUGAGACACGGUCCAGACUCCUACGGGAGGCAGCAGUGGGGAAUUUUGGACAAUGGGCGAAACCCUGAUCCAGCCAUCCCGCGUGGGUGAAGAAGGCCUUCGGGUUGUAAAGUCCUUUUGGUGGGGAAGCGGUACCUACAGAAUAAGCACCGGCUAACUACGUGCCAGCAGCCGCGGUAAUAC